ACCAGACUCCUACGGGAGGCAGCAGUGGGGGAUAUUGCACAAUGGGGGGAACCCUGAUGCAGCGACGCCGCGUGGGUGAAGAAGCGCCUCGGCGCGUAAAGCCCUGUCAGCAGGGAAGAAAAUGACGGUACCUGAAGAAGAAGCCCCGGCUAACUACGUGCCAGCAGCCGCGGUAAUACGUAGGGGGCAAGCGUUAUCCGGAUUUACUGGGUGUAAAGGGGGCGCAGACGGCGAUGCAAGCCAGGAGUGAAAGCCCGGGGCCCAACCCCGGGACUGCUCUUGGAACUGCGUGGCUGGAGUGCAGGAGGGGCAGGCGGAAUUCCUGGUGUAGCGGUGAAAUGCGUAGAUAUCAGGAGGAACACCGGUGGCGAAGGCGGCCUGCUGGACUGCAACUGACGUUGAGGCUCGAAAGCGUGGGGAGCAAACAGGAUUAGAUACCCGUGUAC
rnacentral:rRNA from 1 species